GAGACACCCUUAUGGAACAGGACUUGCUUCAGUGGGCUUUGGUGCUCACUGAGUCUGCCCCUUGAGUGUGUUGCU
rnacentral:pre_miRNA from 1 species